UACGUAGGGGGGCAAGCGUUGUCCGGAAUUACUGGGCGUAAAGCGUACGUAGGCGGCUUUGUAAGUUAGAGGUGAAAGCCUGGUGCUCAACCACCAGAACUGCCUUUAAGACUGCAUCGCUUGAAUCGCGGAGAGGUGAGUGGAAUUCCGAGUGUAGAGGUGAAAUUCGUAGAUAUUCGGAAGAACACCAGUGGCGAAGGCGGCUCACUGGACGCGUAUUGACGCUGAGGUACGAAAGCGUGGGGAGCAAA
rnacentral:rRNA from 1 species